GGCAACCCUGAACCAGCCAUGCCGCGUGCAGGAAGACGGCCCUCUGGGUUGUAAACUGCUUUUAUCCGGGAAUAAACCCCCUUACGUGUAAGGGGCUGAAUGUACCGGAAGAAUAAGGAUCGGCUAACUCCGUGCCAGCAGCCGCGGUAAUACGGAGGAUCCAAGCGUUAUCCGGAUUUAUUGGGUUUAAAGGGUGCGUAGGCGGCCUGUUAAGUCAGGGGUGAAAGACGGUGGCUCAACCAUCGCAGUGCCUUUGAUACUGACGGGCUUGAAUACACUUGAAGUAGGCGGAAUGUGACAAGUAGCGGUGAAAUGCAUAGAUAUGUCACAGAACACCGAUUGCGAAGGCAGCUUACUAAGGUGCAAUUGACGCUGAGGCACGAAAGCGUGGGGAUCAAACAGGAUUAGAUACCCCUGGUAGUCCACGCCCUAAACGAUGAAUACUCGAUGUUAGCGAUAUACAGUUAGCGUCUAAGCGAAAGCGUUAAGUAUUCCACCUGGGGAGUACGCCCGCAAGGGUGAAACUCAAAGGAAUUGACGGGGGCCCGCACAAGCGGAGGAGCAUGUGGUUUAAUUCGAUGAUACGCGAGGAACCUUACCCGGGCUUGAAAGUUACUGAAGUAUCCAGAGAUGGAUGCGUCCGCAAGGACAGGAAACUAGGUGCUGCAUGGCUGUCGUCAGCUCGUGCCGUGAGGUGUUGGGUUAAGUCCCGCAACGAGCGCAACCCCUAUGUUUAGUUGCCAGCACGUCAAGGUGGGGACUCUAAACAGACUGCCUGUGCAAACAGAGAGGAAGGAGGGGACGACGUCAAGUCAUCAUGGCCCUUACGUCCGGGGCUACACACGUGCUACAAUGGGCAGUACAGAGGGCCGCUACCUGGUAACAGGAUGCCAAUCUCAAAAAGCUGUUCACAGUUCGGAUUGAGGUCUGCAACUCGACCUCAUGAAGUUGGAUUCGCUAGUAAUCGCAGAUCAGCAAUGCUGCGGUGAAUACGUUCCCGGGCCUU
rnacentral:rRNA from 1 species